ACCGUUGUCACUGCUGCGUGGGGUUUCCUCCUGUGUAUGCCUGUCUAUGCUUCAGGAAGGCAGGGUACAGUCAUACCCAGAAUCUUGUCUGUGUCCAUCCCAAAUCUACAGCUGGUCCUGUGGAUCAUGGUAGAAUCAUAGAAUCACAGAAAUCACUCAAAGCAGGACCAUCCCCAGGUAGAUCUAAGUACCAAAGCUUUGCAAAGCAGGCAUGAAAACCUUCCAAGGAUGGAGAUUCCACCACCUCGCCAGGUAACCUGUUCCAGUGCUUUACUACCCUCAGUGAGAGGUUUUUCCUGAUAUCUGACAUAAACUUCCCUUGCUGCAACUUGAGACCGUUCCUGCUCGUUCUGUCAUCUGCCACCACUGAGAACAGUCUAGCUCCAUCCUCUUUCCAACCUUCCAUCAGGUAGUUGAAGGCUGCUAUCAGAUCCCCCAUCAGCCUUCUCAUAAGCUUCCUUUUGUUUUUAAGCUCGCCAAAGAGUUCUCUGCUAAGCCAAGCUGGUUG
rnacentral:lncRNA from 1 species